GCGGGCGAGGUGUAAUUGGUUGCACGUCAGCCUUCCAAGCUGAAGGCAGCGGGUUCGAUCCCCGUCGCCCGCU
rnacentral:tRNA from 2 species